AUUGAACGCUGGCGGCAUGCUUUACACAUGCAAGUCGAACGGCAGCGCGGGCUUCGGCCUGGCGGCGAGUGGCGAACGGGUGAGUAAUACAUCGGAACGUGCCCAGUAGUGGGGGAUAGCUCGGCGAAAGCCGGAUUAAUACCGCAUACGACCUGAGGGUGAAAGCGGGGGAUCUUCGGACCUCGCGCUAUUGGAGCGGCCGAUGGCAGAUUAGCUAGUUGGUGGGGUAAAGGCCUACCAAGGCGACGAUCUGUAGCUGGUCUGAGAGGACGACCAGCCACACUGGGACUGAGACACGGCCCAGACUCCUACGGGAGGCAGCAGUGGGGAAUUUUGGACACUGGGCGAAAGCCUGAUCCAGCAAUGCCGCGUGUGUGAUGAAGGCCUUCGGGUUGUAAAGCACUUUUGGCGGGAACGAAAAGGACUGUGCCAAUACCACGGUUCGAUGACGGUACCCGCAGAAUAAGCACCGGCUAACUACGUG
rnacentral:rRNA from 1 species